GACGAACGCUGGCGGCGUGCCUAAUACAUGCAAGUAGAACGCAGUUGCGAACGGGUGAGUAACGCGUAGGUAACUGCCUGGUAGCGGGGGAUAACUAUUGGAAACGAUAGCUAAUAACGCAUACUACCAGAUGGACCUGCGUUUGAUUAGCUGGUUGGUGGGGUAACGGCUCACCAAGGCAACGAUACCUAGCCGGCCUGGGAGGGUGAUCGGGCACACUGGGACUGAGAAACGGCCCAGAAUCCUACGGGAGGCAGCAGUAGGGAAUCUUCGGCAAUGGACGGAAGUCUGACCGAGCAACGCCGCGGGAGUGAAGAAGGUUUUCGGAUCGUAAAGCUCUGUUGUAAGAGAAGCGGUAUCUUACCAGAAAGGGACGACUAACUACGUGCCAGCCGCCGCGGUAAUUC
rnacentral:rRNA from 1 species